CAGCACCUCAAGUGGUCAGGAUGAUUAUUGGGCCUAAAGCAUCCGUAGCCGGCGCUGUAAGUUUUCGGUUAAAUCUGUACGCUCAACGUACAGGCUGCCGGGAAUACUGCAGCGCUAGGGAGUGGGAGAGGUAGACGGUACUCGGUAGGAAGGGGUAAAAUCCUUUGAUCUAUUGAUGACCACCUGUGGCGAAGGCGGUCUACCAGAACACGUCCGACGGUGAGGGAUGAAAGCUGGGGGAGCAAACCGGAUUAGAUACACGCGUAGUCC
rnacentral:rRNA from 1 species